AGCAGCCGCGGUAAUUCCAGCUCCAAUAGCGUAUAUUAAAGUUGUUGCAGUUAAAAAGCUCGUAGUUGAAUUUCGGGGUUAGUAGGUCGGUCAUGCCACUGGUAUGUACUGGUCUCACUGAUUCCUCCUUCCUGAUGAACCGUAAUGCCAUUAAUUUGGUGUUGCGGGGAGACUGGACUGUUACUUUGAAAAAAUUAGAGUGUUUAAAGCAGGCUAACGCUUGAAUACAUUAGCAUGGAAUAAUGAAAUAGGACGUUCGAUCCUAUUUUGUUGGUUUCUAGGAUUGACGUAAUGAUUAAUAGGGAUAGUUGGGGGCAUUAGUAUUCAAUUGUCAGAGGUGAAAUUCUUGGAUUUAUUGAAGACUAACUACCGCGAAAGCAUUUGCCAAGGAUGUUUUCAUUAAUCAAGAACGAAAGUUAGGGGAUUGAAGACGAUCAGAUACCGUCGUAGUCUUAACCAUAAACUAUGCCGACUAGGGAUCGGAUGAUGUUAAUUUUUUAAUGACUCAUUCGGCGCCUUA
rnacentral:rRNA from 1 species